rnacentral:rRNA from 1 species
UCUGCUGUGGAAACGCAACGCUUAACGUUGCGCGUGCAGUGGGUACGGGCUGACUAGAGUGCAGUAGGGGAGUCUGGAAUUCCUGGUGUAGCGGUGAAAUGCGCAGAUAUCAGGAGGAACACCGGUGGCGAAGGCGGGACUCUGGGCUGUAACUGACACUGAGGAGCGAAAGCAUGGGGAGCGAACAGGAUUAGAUACCCUGGUAGUCCAUGCCGUAAACGUUGGGCACUAGGUGUGGGGGACAUUCCACGUUCUCCGCGCCGUAGCUAACGCAUUAAGUGCCCCGCCUGGGGAGUACGGUCGCAAGGCUAAAACUCAAAGGAAUUGACGGGGGCCCGCACAAGCGGCGGAGCAUGCGGAUUAAUUCGAUGCAACGCGAAGAACCUUACCAAGGCUUGACAUACACUGGACCGUUCUGGAAACAGUUCUUCUCUUUGGAGCUGGUGUACAGGUGGUGCAUGGUUGUCGUCAGCUCGUGUCGUGAGAUGUUGGGUUAAGUCCCGCAACGAGCGCAACCCUCGUUCUAUGUUGCCAGCACGUGAUGGUGGGAACUCAUAGGAGACUGCCGGGGUCAACUCGGAGGAAGGUGGGGAUGACGUCAAAUCAUCAUGCCCUUUAUGUCUUGGGCUUCACGCAUGCUACAAUGGCUGGUACAGAGAGAGGCGAACCCGUGAGGGUAAGCGAAUCCCUUAAAGCCAGUCUCAGUUCGGAUCGUAGUCUGCAAU